AGAGUUUGAUCCUGGCUCAGGAUGAACGCUGGCGGUCUGCUUAACACAUGCAAGUCGAACGCACCUUUCGGGGUGAGUGGCGGACGGGUGAGUAACGCGUGAGAAUCUGCCUUUUGGUCGGGGACAACCACUGGAAACGGUGGCUAAUACCGGAUGUGCCUACGGGUAAAAGAUUUAUUGCCAGAAGAAGAGCUCGCGUCUGAUUAGCUAGUUGGUAGGGUAAAAGCCUACCAAGGCAUCGAUCAGUAGCUGGUCUGAGAGGAUGACCAGCCACACUGGGACUGAGACACGGCCCAGACUCCUACGGGAGGCAGCAGUGGGGAAUUUUCCGCAAUGGGCGAAAGCCUGACGGAGCAAGACCGCGUGAGGGAGGAAGGCUCUUGGGUUGUAAACCUCUUUUGUCAGGGAAGAAGAAAGUGACGGUACCUGACGAAUCAGCAUCGGCUAACUCCGUGCCAGCAGCCGCGGUAAUACGGAGGAUGCAAGCGUUAUCCGGAAUUAUUGGGCGUAAAGCGUCCGCAGGUGGCACUUCAAGUCUGUCGUCAAAGACCGGGGCUUAACCCUGGAAAGGCGAUGGAAACUGAAAGGCUAGAGAGAGGUAGGGGUAGAGGGAAUUCCCAGUGUAGCGGUGAAAUGCGUAGAGAUUGGGAAGAACAUCGGUGGCGAAAGCGCUCUACUGGACCUCAUCUGACACUCAGGGACGAAAGCUAGGGGAGCGAAUGGGAUUAGAUACCCUAGUAGUCC
rnacentral:rRNA from 1 species